AGAAGAUGAAGUGAAGCCGAGUGUCCGGCCGCUCUAGAGGACGCCGUGUUUCACAGGACCAGGUCCUCAAGUAGAUUCCUCUUGGCCUCCCUCCCACCUAGGCCAAAAGGAGAAGAAACAUGUCCAGUGCCAUCCACCCUGGAGAAGCAGGAAUAAAAUCCAUUUUCAGCAGCCCAAAGGAGAGGCCUUGGGGAGCAGAGGCUUCCCACCCCUCCCCUCACUUACCGAGGACCAGCAAGGAUGCCCACAGUAGCAUGGAAGUCUGCUCUGGGAUCCUGAGGAGCAUCUUUUGGCAGACAGUUGGGAACUGGAAACCUGACACAUUUUCUUCUGCAACAAGAAAUCAGCAUGAGAAUUUACUUUUCACAUUAUAUAUGCAACAUAAGAUUCAGUUUUAUAAACUUUGUAAUAUUUAACUGGCCUGGAAAUUCCUCAAAAAUGAAAAAUAGACCUACUAUAUGAUCCAGCAAUUCUUUCUUGGAUAUUUAUCAGAAGAAAACUGAAAUACUAAUUCAAAAGAUAUAUGCGCCCCUACAUUCAUCACACUACCAUUUAUAGUAGCCAAGAUAUGGAUACUACCUAAGUGCCCAUCAAUAGAUGAAUGGAUAAAGAUGUGAUAUAUAUAAUGAAGUAUUACUCAGCUAUAAAGAAGAAUGAAAUUUGCCAAUGGCCAUACAUGAAUGGCCCCAGGGGUUUUAUGGUAAGUGAAGUAAGUCUAAAAAAGACAAAUGCUGUAUGAUUCACUUAUAUGUGGAAGCUAAAAAACAAAACAAACAGACAUAACUAAACUGAAACAGUCAUACACUGAGUUCUUCUGUGGCCCAGCAGGUUAAGAAUCCAGCAUUGUCAUUGCAGCAGCCUGGGUUGUUGCUGUGUUAUGGGUUUGAGCCUUGACUAGAGAACUUCUACAUGCCACUGGAGGCCAAGAAAGGAAGAAAGAAAG